AGAAGUGUACAGCUUUGCGCAAGGGCAACUUCUCUGCAUGGCAGAGGUGAGGGGAAAUGAAAAUGAUGCUGGGACUAAGUGUCGCCUCUCUGAGAAGUGUCGCAGUCGCAGUCAUGUGGCAUGUCUGUUACAUUUCCCAGAAUGGUUCCCAGCGCUGGAGCUAAUUCCUUUUCGGAGAACCUACAUUUCUCACCUGCUGAUUGCAAUUAGCCACUGCCAGCUGGGGCCUGGUAUGCAGCGGAAAAGCUAACAAGAAGUAGAGACCGCGCGGAACCCAGACAGGGCAGAGGAUGUGCAUAAGUUUUGUUGAAACUGUCAACAGGGCAAGAGGUGAAUGCAGCAAAUCGUAAGGAGAAGACCUGAAUGAGGCAAGUGGCCACUCACCUUGUACCUGGGUCCCAAAUCCCCAGAGGCUCCAGGCUCAGCAACAGAUGCUCACAAUGAUGGCAACUGCUGAAGUUGAUGGGUAAUGAUUUUGCGGCAUCGUCUCCACUGACUCGGGCCCUCCUCCACCCUGGCUGCUGCUGAAGACCCCAGGAAGCAUGGCCCUGACCUCUGUUUAGUCUCCAUUCAGGAGCAGCCGGCCACCAUGUUGUAAGGCAACCCUGUGCCUGAGGCCAGCCAGCAGCCCUAAGAGUGGGCUUAGGAGCAGAUCCUGCCCCCACCGAGCCUGGAAAUGGGACUGCAACCCCAGUGAUACCUGGACUGAAGCCUCGUGAGGGACACCGAGCCAGAGAACCCAGCUAAGCCGCGUCCAAAUUCCUGACCUUCAGAGAUGGGUUUGGGCCUGAGGUGUGUGAUGAUCCCAUCUGCGCUCUUGUAUCUCACGAGGCCGAUGAAGCCGCACCUUCAGGACUGCUCACUUGCGUGGACCUCUUUUUUGUACAUUUGCGAAAGUACAAGUGCGGCGUGUGCUUGGACAACCCUCGGGCCCUCUACAUAUAAGCGAUUUAUAGCCGGGUCUGAAUGGAUUGGAAUCAGAUGGCAAAACCCAGAUUAACCCCCUGGAUCCUGGUGGCCAUUGGUCAGUCUUUGCUGUUAAUGAUACUUUCACCCGAGUGAAUGCAUUAAAGACGUUCCUUUUAAGAUAAAUAUGCAGCUCGGUCCCUGAUGUCUGCCUGUCGCAAAAACGUGUGAUGGGAGACCAAAUGUCAAUAAAAUCUCCCUGCCCGCCUCAACCCGGUACAUAAUCAGCUCGAAGGUAAAUAAAUGCAAAGGAAUGCAAAGCCAGAGACGUUAGCGUACUCGCCAGAGCCACACCAGUAAUAAGAGGCAGAGCCAGAGUUGCAACCCAGUCAGCUGCGGCGUCUACCUCUCCCCAGCCUCCCAGCCUGGGAAAUUCAAGAAAUCGAAUGCAUCAUCUCUGAGGGGAAAAGGAGAUAAAGGUCCAGAACCCAUCCAAACGCUUCGUUUGGACCAGAAAGCAUGUCUUAUGAAAUAUCUCCUGGCAGGUAAUCGGACACAUUAAUAUAAUAUUGCUGUGCUGAAAAUAUCGCACAAAGUGGGAUAAAUAACGACUCUCAAAAGCCUCCCAUCAGCUCAAACCAGGUGCUGCUGCCAAAUACAUUUGGGUGAAACUUAGACAAAACCUUUGGGUUUCUGUUGCAGAUAAGGGAUUGUGGCUCGGUAGUAAGGAGAAUUUCCAAAACUAGAGCCAGUGUGACAGGGGCGAGAAGGUGGAGGUUACUAAGCAUUUGCAAAAUAAUACAGCAGUGGGACCCUUCUGCCCAGCUCCUACCCAGGGCACAGUGACCAGCAGGGGGCCACCGGGGCCCCCCACUUCCUGAUAAAGUACCCAUGUCGCCUUAGAGCCCCUCUUGGUGUUACAAUCGAAACAUUAUGGGCAGUUGAAUUGUCCUGGGGAUCUUAUAAAAAUGCAGAUUCUGAUGCAGUGGGUCUGGGAUGGGGCCCGGUCAUCUGCAUUUGUAACACGGUUCGAUGCUGCUGGUCUGUGGAUGGCACUUUGAAUAGCGAUGCCGUAGAGUCGAUUCGAUCGAACCAAAGUGGAUCUCCAUAUACUUCCACCCAUCGGUCAUGACGGUCACAGGGAGUGUGUCCAGUUGCCCUCUAACUCAUCAGGUUGUGAUCAAGGGCCAGCAGGGAGAAAGUGACUGGGCAGGGUGGUGGGACUCAGAGGGGGAAAGACCAUCCUCCUUUGCGAGCAUGAAGACUUGAGUGAUGGAGCGAUCAGGACUGGAGAGCAAAUAAGAGCUUCCUGAGAGCAGAACAAAGGAGCAGAUACCCGCAUGUGACUGCUUAAUGUCCUCCUGUUGCUCUUGGACCCUAUGAUGGCCUGUGAAGAGCCCCAGGGCUGGCCUGGCAGAGGAAGAGAGCCACCCGAGCCAAGAUACCAGCUGGACGGACCCAUAAAUGAGCCCAGCUCAGACCCGAAGGAGCCACUGGCCAAGCCACAGACGAGUGAGCGAUCAUAAAUGGCCAUCCUUUAGAGCACUCAGUCUUGGGGUCGUUGGUUAAAAAACAACCACUCACCGAGACAGGUGCCACAAGCUCUUGAAUAGCAACGUUCUCACCAUCUUACCCCAGGGGGAUGGCACUGAAGAAGGAACCCAAAUUGAUGCAGAAAAUACCAGCCCCCCCAGCCCUGUGGUCCCUCCCCCUAAAUUUCCACCCUCAGCCUCCGAUUUUUCCCAUCUCUCAGCUACGUACAUACCUCCUCCAGGGACACAGAGGGAAGCCCUGGGGGACCUCUCCGUUCCUCGCCCUGUGGGCAGAGGGUAGGAAUAGCGAGCGGUCGCAAGGGACGGCCACACGCGCUGCGUGAGCUGGGAGAGGCGUGGGGGUGGAGGAAGACGCAGCCCUUGGGGCUAGUUGAUGCCUUUAAAACAUGCAGACGUACAGAGAGAACGAACGAGGCUUUUCUAUUAUAAAAUAUGUGCUUAGCAUAUUUAUGUAAUAGUUUCACCACGUGCAGUGAAUUGAGUUCCUGCAUUAGGGAAGGAGCUUUGCAUCGCUGCUUCGGACACACUUUGGCGGGUCCACAGCCUCUGUGCAGGUGGUCCGUAUGCACCAAAGAACCCCUGGUGGCUUGUGGGGGGCGGGGGGGGUGGCCUGGCCACAGGCCGUGCCUGGUUUUUUAGCUUCACUUUGAGAAUCUCUCCUAGGUUGUCCCCCAUGAAAAACACACAUGAGGGUGUUUCGUGCAGGGAGCCCCCUUCAGGGCGCUGGUGGGGGUGGCGGCUGUUUGCUGGGAGCAGCCCCCAGAAAGAUGGGGUGCUGGAAACAUGGGAAGAUGGCCGCUGGGAUCCCGAGGGUCUGGCCUGGUGGGGCUUCAGGAUGGAGUAAGAUGCUACGAGAUGUGGGGUUCCGGUACCAUGUGGCCCAUCCCCCCUUUCUCCCCACAAAAGCCCCUUCCAUUUUCUUCUGACUCUUUUCUCCCCUUCUCUCCCUCCUUCUCUCUCAAUCUCUUUCCCCUUAACUUUUUCUAUCUUAAUUGGCCAUAACAUGGAAGUGAAAUUCUUUUUAUUAUCUACUAUAUUUAUUGAAUACAGUUUUAUGUUCCUCGCUCUUAAUUUUUAAAGUGGAUGAGCUGAACACUUUAUGGUUUUCUUUCAGAAAAUUUUAUAUCGCAGCGGUAGGCAUUAGGGCUGUUCACAAAUAGUCGGUUUGGGCUCAUGCCUGGGUGGGACACCCGCUCUUACUUGGGGGUUACCUCUCUGUGUGGGACUUCUUUGGCCCAGUUAAAUGUGAGCGCUCCCGGGGGAGGGGGGGGCGUGGAGCCUUGACAAUCAGCACCUUGCUCUCCUCCUGCUGCUGCGGUGAUGGGGUAGCUGAGGUGGGAGGUGAAAACUUUCUCAGCCUGGGGAUCUGAGUGACUGCGGGGGGCAUGGAACUUGAAUCAGGAGGAAGCUGUUUUAUAUUAAGCCACUGCAUGUGUUACCGCAGCCUCAUCUGACUUAUUCUGACUGAAGCAGUUAUUGUACCUCGCUUGACAGUCUUUUGUUUUAUUGCUUUUUAGGCCUGCACCUGUGGCACAUGGAGGUUCCCAGGCUAGGGGUCAAAUCGGAGCUGUUGCUGCCGGCCUACACCACAGCCACAGCAAUUCGAGAUCUGAGCCGCAUCUGCGACCCACACCACAGCUCACGGCAACGCCGGAUCCUUAACCCACUGAGCGAGGCCAGGGAUCGAACCCGCAUAUCCUCAUGGAUACCAGUCAGGUUUGUUACCGCUUAGCCGUGAUGGGAACUUCUGACAAUCUUCUCUAAUAAGAAAUCAUUUACGUGAUGCUAAAAUCAUUAUCUGUGUCAAUUUUUUUCACCUCUGCGGGGGCGGGGGGUCAGGAUUCCUUUGAGAAUCUGAUAAAAUGAUGAGCACCCUCCCCACUCCCACCCCCACCCCGGGGAAUGGACACGUGACAUUUUGCAUAUAGUCACAGGCACUGGUUCCCUCCAGAGUACAAAAGCCCUCUCCAGUCUGGGAAGCAGACGCUGGAUCCUCACUGCUCCUGCUGGGCAUGCGGGCUGGAGUGCCGGCAUCGAGCCUGCUUUCCUCCUGGUCCUCGCCUCUGCCUGCACAUCGCAGGCACAGCAUCCUGACGGUUCUAGCGGCGCCCUAAUGACAGAAGCUGCGCAUCAUUUCCAUUGCUGGAUCCGCGGCAAUCACUGCAAUGUAGAUCAUGAGGUUUCCAUGGAAGUUUCCUAGGGUUGGAAUGCACUUCUUCAGGGAUGUCCUUGGCAGCAGACAGGGCUUUGGACACUUCUGGGGCCACAUCUCAGACACCCCCCGCCCCCGGUCAAGGUAGAACUCAACAUAAAGACUGGCAGGGCGUGGAGGGGUUCGGCAGAAUGCAGUGGCAAAGCACUUGACCAUGACCCCGCAGGCUCGUCCUGGUGGGUUUCUCUGGGCCGAGAGCACUUCCUUGAUCUCUGCCACUCGCCCUACAUCUGGAAGAAUGCCUUUUUUCACUCCAACACACGUGACACCUUUUGGCCUUUCUGAAUGUCAGUUUCGUCAUUUGCACAGCUUCAAUCGCUGACUGAAAAAAAUUCACUUGCAAGCUGGUUGUUCAGAACUGGGAACGACGUCCCCCAUGAAAACAGCCUAUAAAAUUGUGGUCAUUCUCCUUAGACAAAUCCCCAAAGUCUACCAGAGGCAGCUGAGGACUACAAAUUUUGGAAGCCUAAAUGUAGGAGUCUGUGCAGUGUGACAGAAGAGAGGGAAUCUGCCUUCUUUUUUUUCCCCUUUUUUAGGGCCGCACCUGCGGCAUAUGGAAGAUCCCAGGCUGGGGAUCUAAUCAGAGCUACAGCUGCCGGCCUACACCACAGACAAGGUAACAUAGGAUCUGAGCCCCAUCUCUUGGCAAUGUGGGAUCCUUAACCCCCUGAGGGAGGCCAAGGAUCGAACCCACACCCUCACAGACACUAUGUCAGGGUCUUAAUCCACUGAGCCACAGCGGGAACUCUGGUAUCUGCCUUCUUAUCCAUUUUCAAUUUCUCAUCUCCCUCCCUUCAUCCAGAGCCUCGGUCCCUGUAAGCCUCUUCCCAUCCCCAAGGCACGCUAUUCCUAAAAUCACCCCUCUUUCUCCAAACUUUACUGUCUCAGCAUAGCUGAACCCAAAAAGGUAUUCAGAGGAAAGCCAUUUUCUUGGACUAAUUCUCACUAAAAUGUGAAGGGCUGGGAACUCCUUCAUCCUCUUGGAAGUGUUGCUGUUUUUAAGAAGAUAAAUCUCAGGGAGUUCCUGUUGUAGCUUGGUGGUUAAUGAAUCUGACUAGCAUCCAUGAGGACACAGGUUCGAUCCCUGGCCUUGCUCAGUGGGUCAAGGAUCUGGUGUUGCCGUGAGCUGUGGUGUAGGUCACAGACACGGCUCAGAUCUGGCGUGGCUGUGGCUCUGGCGUAGGCUGGUGGCUACAGCUCCAAUUCGACCCCUAGCCUGGGAACCUCCAUAUGCCAUGGGUGCGGCCCGAAAAAG
rnacentral:lncRNA from 1 species